GAUGAACGCUGGCGGCGUGCCUAAUACAUGCAAGUCGAGCGAACAGACGAGGAGCUUGCUCCUCUGACGUUAGCGGCGGACGGGUGAGUAACACGUGGAUAACCUGCCUAUAAGACUGGGAUAACUUCGGGAAACCGGAGCUAAUACCGGAUAAUAUAUUGAACCGCAUGGUUCAAUAGUGAAAGACGGUUUUGCUGUCACUUAUAGAUGGAUCCGCGCCGCAUUAGCUAGUUGGUAAGGUAACGGCUUACCAAGGCAACGAUGCGUAGCCGACCUGAGAGGGUGAUCGGCCACACUGGAACUGAGACACGGUCCAGACUCCUACGGGAGGCAGCAGUAGGGAAUCUUCCGCAAAGGGCGAAAGCUUGACGGAGCAACGCCGCGUGAGUGAUGAAGGUCUUCGGAUCGUAAAACUCUGUUAUUAGGGAAGAACAAAUGUGUAAGUAACUAUGCACGUCUUGACGGUACCUAAUCAGAAAGCCACGGCUAACUACGUG
rnacentral:rRNA from 1 species